rnacentral:rRNA from 1 species
AUGUGCAUGGCAAAGAGAGAAGGUGGUAUGGGAUUCAGAGAUCCAGAGGCUUUCAACCAAGCCUUAUUGGCAAAACAAGCGUGGAGGAUUCUGCUUGUUCCUUCAUCACUAUGUGCUGGAGUCCUCUAAUCUAGAUAUUUCAGCGAGGGUAGCAUACUGAACGCUACCUGCCCAGCGGGUCGAUCAUACACUUUUCGCAGCAUUCUUCAUGGG